UAGGGUGACCGCGAUCGAGGUUCUCCGGGUUGCUCCCGGAGCUAAGAGGGAAUUCGGUGAGGCGUAUUCCGCCAAAGCCGAGGCUGCCCCCGCAACUGUAAGCGGCGAGCUCUCCGUCCAUCGUCCACUGGCGCUGAUCGCGCCGGGAAGGCCGGGCGGAACCGGCAUCGACCCGCGAGCCAGGAGACCUGCCCCGGUCGUCGAAGACGUC
rnacentral:ncRNA from 8 species